rnacentral:rRNA from 1 species
GAUAACCCCGGGAAACCGGGGCUAAUACCGAAUAUGACCUUGCACCGCAUGGUGUUUGGUGGAAAGUUUUUCGGCUUGGGAUGGGCUCGCGGCCUAUCAGCUUGUUGGUGGGGUGAUGGCCUACCAAGGCGACGACGGGUAGCCGGCCUGAGAGGGCGACCGGCCACACUGGGACUGAGACACGGCCCAGACUCCUACGGGAGGCAGCAGUGGGGAAUAUUGCACAAUGGGCGGAAGCCUGAUGCAGCGACGCCGCGUGAGGGAUGACGGCCUUCGGGUUGUAAACCUCUUUCAGCAGGGACGAAGCGUAAGUGACGGUACCUGCAGAAGAAGCGCCGGCCAACUACGUGCCAGCAGCCGCGGUAAGACGUAGGGCGCGAGCGUUGUCCGGAUUUAUUGGGCGUAAAGAGCUCGUAGGCGGCUUGUCGCGUCGACCGUGAAAACCUGGGGCUCAACCCCAGGCCUGCGGUCGAUACGGGCAGGCUAGAGUUCGGUAGGGGAGACUGGAAUUCCUGGUGUAGCGGUGAAAUGCGCAGAUAUCAGGAGGAACACCGGUGGCGAAGGCGGGUCUCUGGGCCGAUACUGACGCUGAGGAGCGAAAGCGUGGGGAGCGAACAGGAUUAGAUACCCUGGUAGUCCACGCUGUAAACGUUGGGCGCUAGGUGUGGGGGGCCUCUCCGGUUCCCUGUGCCGCAGCUAACGCAUUAAGCGCCCCGCCUGGGGAGUACGGCCGCAAGGCUAAAACUCAAAG